rnacentral:tRNA from 3 species
GCCGUUGUAGCUCAGUUGGCAGAGCGGCGCUUUCGUAAAGCGUAGGUCACCGGUUCAAACCCGGUCAACGGCUCCA